rnacentral:rRNA from 1 species
AGUGAACGCUGGCGGUAGGCCUAACACAUGCAAGUCGAACGGCAGCACAGUAAGAGCUUGCUCUUACGGGUGGCGAGUGGCGGACGGGUGAGGAAUACAUCGGAAUCUACUUUUUCGUGGGGGAUAACGUAGGGAAACUUACGCUAAUACCGCAUACGACCUACGGGUGAAAGCAGGGGAUCUUCGGACCUUGCGCGAUUGAAUGAGCCGAUGUCGGAUUAGCUAGUUGGCGGGGUAAAGGCCCACCAAGGCGACGAUCCGUAGCUGGUCUGAGAGGAUGAUCACCCAAACUGGAACUGAGAAACGUCCCAGCCCCUGAGGGGAGGCAGAGUUGGGGAUAAUUGGCAAAGGGGGGAAAGCUGGUCCCAGCCAACCAGGGUGGUUGAAGAAGGCCUCCGGGUGGUAAAGCCCUUUUGUUGGGAAGAAAAGCAGCAGGUUAAUACCCCGCUGUUCUGACGGUACCCAAAGAAUAAGCACCGGCUAACUUCGUG